CACCAUCUUCCCUGGAACGCUGUCUGAGUGCGCCUGGGGGGCAUUCUGUGCAGCACUCUUCUGAGGGGGCUUCUUCUGGGAGCGGGCUGGGGGGCUCUUAAUCUUGGGAAGGGCACUCUGGAACUCCCCCAGCAAAUCUACUUUACCCACAGCAGAAUCAGUCUUCUUGGAAGGGGCAGGGGUCAGCCAAGACACCGCAGCUUUCUGGUCCAGGGACUGCUCUGAGCCGUCGCUCGAGGACGCUGGUUCUUUUUGUUCAGAAAUCCUCUCUGUUCCAAGAACCGUCGCCUCCUGACAAAAUUUCGAUGCUUGGCAUUUCCUUCUAAUGACUUUUUGGGAGGACAUUCCGCAAAAUCCAGAUUCAGGAGUAGAGCAGACAGGAGGACAGCAAACAGUGGGAAUGCAGGUGGGAAGAAUGGCUCACAGAUGACAGGAUAAGGUUCUCAUUCUCUGCUGAGUCCCUUCUACCAUGUGGAGGUCUGCGGAAAACCCUGAGGAGGAAAGUGAUCUCGGGAUCAAAUGCGGGAUACCUUUCGCUUGCGCGGCAGGCGGCGGAACCACUGAGCUAAAUCCCCAGCCCAAGACAGCCCUUUUAAACAAAUGGUGCUGGGAAAACUGAAUAUCUAAAUGCAGAAGAUUGAGUCUAGACCCAUAUAUUUCAUCAUGUACUAAACUAAAAUAAAAAUGGAUCAAAGAUCCAAAGGUUAAAACAGAAAUGCUUAAUCUUAUGGAAGAUAAAAUAGGUAAAACUCUUGAAGACAUAGGUGUAGGCAAACACUUUCUGAACAGAAUCCCAA
rnacentral:lncRNA from 1 species